AUGUUAUCAAGAAAGGCCGAGGGAUUAGACCCUGUGAAGCCUUAGCAACCCUUCGUACAAGCGAAGAAGGUGCUACGUUCUACCAGAUUUUUUUUGGACAGAUAACUU
rnacentral:ncRNA from 2 species